rnacentral:rRNA from 1 species
UACGUAGGGUGCAAGCGUUAAUCGGAAUUACUGGGCGUAAAGCGUGCGCAGGCGGUGAUGUAAGACAGGUGUGAAAUCCCCGGGCUUAACCUGGGGGCUGCAUUUGAUACGUGUUGUCUAGAGUGAGGAAGAGGGUUGUGGAAUUCCCGGUGUAGUGGUGGAAUGCGUAGAUAUCGGGAGGAACACCAGUGGCGAAGGCGGUUGCCUGGAGCUUUGCUGACGCUGAUGCGCGAAAGCGUGGGGAGCGAGUCCGG